rfam:Beta vulgaris subsp. vulgaris Bvchr8.sca001.con0027.1, whole genome shotgun sequence.
UGGUGAAUUACAGCGCAAAUCUCUUUUGGCAUGCGGAGAUUGCAAAUGCAUAAUAUCCGACAUGCCAAAGGAGACUUGCUCUGCCAUUCACUA